GAUGAACGCUGACAGAAUGCUUAACACAUGCAAGUCGAUGGGGAAGUGGUGCUUGCACCAUGGCAACCAUGGCGGACGGGUGAGUAACGCGUAAGGGACUUACCUGCAGGACUGGGAUAACAGGGGGAAACUCCUGACAAGACCGGAUAAUGUCAUGGAGCUGCAUGGCUUUAUGAUGAAAGGAGACGCCUGCGGAGAGCCUUGCGUCCUAUUAGCUAGUUGGUGAGGUAAUGGCUCACCAAGGCGAAGAUAGGUAGCCGGCCUGAGAGGGUGGACGGCCACAAGGGGACUGAGAUACGGCCCUGACUCCUACGGGAGGCAGCAGUGGGGAAUAUUGGACAAUGGGGGCAACCCUGAUCCGGCAAUUCUGUGUGCACGAAGAAGGUUUUCGGAUUGUAAAGUGCUUUCAGCAGGGAAGAAGUAAGUGACGGUACCUGCAGAAGAAGCGACGGCUAAAUACGUG
rnacentral:rRNA from 1 species